rnacentral:rRNA from 1 species
AUUGAACGCUGGCGGCGUGCCUAACACAUGCAAGUCGAUCGGUAACAGGUGUAGCAAUACAUGCUGACGAGAGGCGGACGGGUGAGUAACGCUUGGGAAUCUGCCUAUUAGUGGGGGGACAACCCGGGGGAAACUCGGGCUAAUACCGCAUACGCUCUACGGAGGAAAGCCGGGGACCGCAAGGCCUGGCGCUAAUAGAUGAGCCCAAGUCGGAUUAGCUAGUUGGUAGGGUAACGGCCUACCAAGGCGACGAUCCGUAGCUGGUCUGAGAGGACGACCAGCCACACUGGGACUGAGACACGGCCCAGACUCCUACGGGUGGCAG